UACAUGUGGGGCAAGCGUUGUUCGGAAUUACUGGGCAUAAAGGGUGCGUAGGCGGCUUGAUAAGUCAGUGGUGAAAUCGUCCGGCCCAACCGGACACGUGCCAAUGAUACUGUCGAGCUAGAGUGCGUGAGGGGUGGGGGGAACGAGCAGUGUAGCGGUGAAAUGCGUAGAUAUUGCUCGGAAGGCCAAAGCCGAAGGGACCCCACUGGUACGCAACUGACGCUGAGGCACGAAAGCGUGGGGAGCAAACAGGG
rnacentral:rRNA from 1 species